UACGUAGGGUGCAAGCGUUGUCCGGAAUUAUUGGGCGUAAAGAGCUCGUAGGCGGUCUGUUGCGUCGGCUGUGAAAACCCGGGGCUCAACUCCGGGCCUGCAGCCGAUACGGGCAGACUAGAGUUCGGCAGGGGAGACUGGAAUUCCUGGUGUAGCGGUGAAAUGCGCAGAUAUCAGGAGGAACACCGGUGGCGAAGGCGGGUCUCUGGGCCGAUACUGACGCUGAGGCGCGAAAGUGUGGGGAGCGAACAGG
rnacentral:rRNA from 1 species